rnacentral:sRNA from 1 species
GUUGCGGCAAAAUCCGCAACCGGGCGUAGGAACCUGAAUAGCUCAACGACGACACAGAGAUACUUUUU